GAUGAACGCUAGCUACAGGCUUAACACAUGCAAGUCGAGGGGAAACGACAUCGAAAGCUUGCUUUUGAUGGGCGUCGACCGGCGCACGGGUGAGUAACGCGUAUCCAACCUGCCCACCACUUGGGGAUAACCUUGCGAAAGUAAGACUAAUACCCGAUGAUAUCUCUAGAAGACAUCUGAAAGGGAUUAAAGAUUUAUCGGUGAUGGAUGGGGAUGCGUCUGAUUAGCUUGUUGGCGGGGUAACGGCCCACCAAGGCUACGAUCAGUAGGGGUUCUGAGAGGAAGGUCCCCCACACCGGUACUGAGACACGGACCAGACUCCUACGGGAGGCAGCAGUGAGGAAUAUUGGUCAAUGGGCGAGAGCCUGAACCAGCCAAGUCGCGUGAGGGAAGACGGUCCUACGGAUUGUAAACCUCUUUUGUCGGGGAGUAAUAGGCGGGACGUGUCCUGCUGNGAGAGUACCCGAGAAAAGCAUCGGCUAACUCCGUGCCAG
rnacentral:rRNA from 1 species